CGGUUCGCAGGGUCCGGCGGAGGUGCCCAACCUGUUCUCUGAAUCGAUCCAAAGGCCAACAACGUUCCGGUUGAUCUCCUCCGGGAAGAACCCUAACCCUCGAUCAUGUCGGCCGCGAUGUCCAUAUCCAGCCGCCGCUCUCCUUCCGAGCUUAGCCGGCCCACUCCUCCGGUAACCAUAAUCCCCAAGUCCCACCCCCUACCACCGUGCCAGACACGCUGUCCGGAUCCAGCCGCCGCUCCUUCUUCGGCCGUCCGGCCCACUCCUCCGGGCGUGUCCGGCCGUGCGGGAACCAGUUCACCGGCCCUCUCCUCCGUCCCCAGCCGUCCCGACUGCGUCCUCCUGGACUCAUGUGGGUAUGGCUUCGUGGACGUGGACGACAACGACACCACCGCGCAAGCCUUCUCGGAGGCGACAGGAACCAUCCGCGUGACUUUCGUUAUCUCCGAUCUCCCGUGCCUCUCGCGCUUCUACGUCCGCUGCCUCGACCUCCCGACCAGCCCCUUCAUCACUGAGCCCAAGAUCGUUUGCUCGGCGGAGAACCUUGCUCUCCUCAGCUUCCACCUGUCCACUUCCUGGUUGCCAGAGCACUUCAUCUACAGGGCCGGGCGGAACGGGCGUCCGCCAUCGCUUGACGCGCUUCCCGACAUCAGCAGGUACCUACAUAGAGAGACAACCAAACCAUGCCUUAUCGGCGUCUUGCCUGACGGCGGCGGCACAGACUUCGUCUUGGCAGCUUUCACAAGGGAUAUAUUGCAGUACAAACUCCAUAUCUUCAGAUCCAAGCAGCGUGCCUGGACCACGGAGCUCUUGUUCCCGGAUCUUCCUCCUUGGCUGACCAAGAAAGGGGCAACAGUUUCCCCCAGCAAGGUGAUUGCUUUACAAGGCGGGGUGCUGGGCUUUGUUGAUCUCUGGAAGGGUAUUUUGUUUUGCGAUGUGCUAUCUGAACUUGUGAAAACGUGGUUUGUUCCACUGCCCAAGCUUCUGCCCAAUAACCGAGUAAACUACAACAGAUUGCCGGCACGCCCCAUUCGCGAUGUCACCUGCCCCGAUGGUUUGAUAAUCAGGUGUGUCGAGUUGGAAGAUCUAUAUGCUAUCAAAACCAGCAUUCCCGAUGCCUCAACCAAGGAUCUAUUAUUUGAUUUUGAUGCGGUUGAUCCAACUGAGGAGAAGGAAGUACAGGAGUUUGUUGGUUGGAGGCUCAUUACAUGGUCUAGGGAGGUCUUUUGGGACUAUUGGUGCAAGGACAGUGUGGUUCAUCUAGAUGAACUUGGAAAUGUGUCCUUGCCUCAUCAGAUUCCGGCUGCCAUGGUGCUGCAAAAUUGCCAUUGAAAACCCUGAAAACAUGUUACCCAACCGCGUGUGGUGAUGGCAUUGUUUGUCUCAUGUCCAAGAAAAAUCAUCGGGACCAUGAUGCAUGGAUUCUCACUGUUGACAUGAGGACCAAGAGAGUGGGAGAGCCAGUGCCAUUUAAUGCCAAGAGAUCAUCAGAUCGUAAUCGUAAUCCCACCUACAUUCCUUGUGCGCUGAACAAAUAUCUGAAUAAUGAAUCAGAUCUAGCUCAGGUUGGCUUGCAAAAUGCCCGUUUUCAUGGACAUUUUUCGCUUCAGCUGCCCCUUCAAAACUCGAACAAGCACAGUAAUAUUUCCCAACAGAAACGGCAGCGACUGCUGUCCCCGCAGAAAGCGAACAGCUAUCCUAAUGCUUACCAACAGAAGCGGCAGACCAUUGAUUCAAAUGAGGCGACCGGCUCAUGCACUUCUCAUCAGAGAGAGGGUACUCCGGGAAGAACAUGGGCCGGUCGGGGAUCCCUGUGCGCUACAGCAUCUGCUCGCCCCCAACAUAACAAGGCCAGAAUCAACAGAAGCAAACCAUGGAGUUGCUGGCCAAAAUAAUUUCAAACAAAAUGAAAGCUGACAAGGGAGGAGAGGACGUGCGUCAUGUUGUUCUGCUUCUUGAUGAGGGAGGUGAGGAGGGGCCUGAAGAGCGGGGACUCGAGGAGCAUACCCAGUACGCCUUGGCGGCGAACGGAAUCCCCUUCCUCCUCCUUUGCGGACUGGCGCACGGCCGAGGCGGCGACCGGCGCGUAGGCCCACGCACACCCGAGGUGGCGCAAGCGCAGCGCGAGACACUGCUGCUUUCCCCGUGCCUCCUCCGGCGUCGGGGGCAACGAGGAGGAGGUGUCGCCGCAGCGCGCAAGCAGGAGACGCAGCGGGAGGAAGAAGAAACAACUUUGGGGGUGAAAGAGGGGAGAUUUGGGAGGCAGGCAAGGGGGCCAGGGGAGCUGCGCGAGGCAGGAGGGAGCGGUGGCGUAGGCAUCCCCGGCGGCGGAGGAGGACGUGCGGGAGAGCAGGGGAGCAGCACGGUGAAGCUGAGCAGGGGAGCUCCGGCGUCGAUGCGCCCGUGUCGGAGCGGCGGGGUGUGUCGAUUGGAGAAGACGAGGAGUGCGGGUUGUGUCGGGAGUUUGGGGAGGGGUUUUCUGCAAAAACGCCAUGGAGACAACUUUUCCCGGACGGAGGGAGUACUAAUAUACUUCCUCCCUCUGGGUUUAUUUGCCCCCCUUGUUUGGUGCAAGUUUGACCAUUUCUUUGACUAACAAAAUAUGAGGUAUGUGCUACAUAAUGUAUACUAUUUGUAUUCGUACGAAGUUUUCCAUGGUAAAAAAUUUAUGACAUAUAAUUCAUAUUUUAUAUUAGUAAAAUCUAGUUAGGUUCAGGCUUUGGAUUAACCAAUCUUGGUUAGAGGAUCAUAUUUUCUGUAAGAUUGUUGAUGCACAUGCUCCUGCUGAGUUCUUUUAGACAUCUUUAUUUAUUCUGGAAUAGUUUACUUGGUUAUUGACUAUGGGCAUCUCCCCCCCCCCCCUAUGUUGUCGUCAUUUAUACAUAGCUCCUUUGUCUAAUAUUGCCCUAAUUAUUCAUGUGCAAGUAAUUAAAUAAGACGCUGUCAAACUAAUUAUAAGCAACUCGUUCCAUUUAUACAUACAUGGUCUGGCAGAGUUUUUAGCCCAAACGAACCUGUUAUCUUUGUUGCAUGUACACCUGCUGAUUCUACAAUUGUGUGCCAAGUCUUGGAAAGUGCAGACAUGUACACCUGCUAAUUCUACAAUUAGCAUUUCUCUGUAAUCUUGAUAACACGUGAGAUUCUUGAUGCUAAUGUGCGAUGGGCAAAGUAUACAAACCCACCAGAUUAUCUGUUCGGUUUGAUGGGGUCUAGAGAUGAAGGGGAUUGGGGGGAUUAAAUCCUUGCCAGUCAAAAUUCCCCUCCAAUUCACUUGGUGGGGGGGAUUAGCCAAACAAGGCUUGAAGGUAACUAGCAGGUUUGUGCGCGGCGGCAGGCCGUGCUUCACUAAUACAUCUGCAUAUAAAUUUUAUAUAUUUGGCUUGAAUGCGUUCAUAUUUAUUUUUGUCUUGUUGGAUAAAUCUUUUCUUGGAGCUUUAAUCAGGAGGUCAUUUAUAUGACAGGGUAAAUGGUAUUUUAUAUUGAAUUGAUAACAAUCAUAAGUUCGAUGAAUCGAAAAUGGCACAGUAAUGGUUUGGUGUACUGGAGUUUCUACUUAAACAAUAGUUUUUCAAUGAAAGGGAUGACUUCCCCAAUUGCAUAACGAAACCAACUGUCUUACAACCAAAACGCACCACCGCCAACUUGGAGGACAGGCCCUUCCAAGCCCAUCCGCAGGGAGCCUAGUUGAUCAGGGCCUAGGUAAAGCAGUACUUAGACAACAGUGUUAUGGUGAUAUCAAAGGCACAAUUAUAAACUUGAUGUUUAACAUUAGCGUUCAUGAUGCACCCGUCACUUGUUGCUCUGCAUUGGUUCUGAUGUUUAGGCUGAGUUGGACAACACUUUCUGCCAUGGGAAAAGGACAGAAUAUGGUUGGUACAAUCGUUGUCGCCUUAAGUCAUUUUGUGAGAUGUUAGAAAAUGUCAAGUGCCAAUUCACCUGUGCGGUUUUGAUUGGUGUUACUGGUAUAGAAUGCUCCCUCAUGUCUUUAGAUAAACAAUAAUAAUGUUCCACAUGCUUGAACAUAGAGAAUCCUGAGUUUCUUUCUCCUCUUCCUAGUUGUCACAAUGUUCCAAUUAGUACUCCUAGCAUACUUCAACUUAUGUUGUGAAUGUGCCCCUCCAAAAAAUGUGUAAACUCUACAGCCUAUUUGCGUGUAUCAGUUCAAGAUUUGUAAGCCUGCACACCAUUACGGUUGAAUGUUGCUAAGGAUUAUAUGAGAAUUAGGUAUUUGAUCCAUGCCUUCCUAAAAUGCCUAAAGAAUACCCUGAAAAAUAUGGAAUCAGCUGCUCUGUGUGGUCAAAUUGUUUUGUAAACAUCAUAUACUUUAGUCAACUUGUGUAGUACUAACUGAAUAAGAAAUCAGAUUCUGAAGUCCUGGAACGAAAUAGAUCUCUGGUUUAGCAGAGGCCAGAAGGUAGAAACUAUGUGGCCAAUCGAAAAUCCCACAUAAGCAAAUAGCAAAAAAAAAGAACUAGGAAGCGGCACAUGUAACAGAGGACAAAAGAAAAAUCUGAGAAGAAAUAUUUCUCAUGUGUACAUGCAGUAUGAAUAUAUAAGGCAUACAGUAAUAGCUGUAAUGAAUAGCUUAGAGAGUAAAAUUAAUCCACCAGUUAUCUGUCAAAGCCAGGCUUUACAAAAAUCAAUUGAGCAAAGGUUAAGCGCUUAACAUAUCACAAUGAUAUCAAUUUUCACUAAAAAGUACAAAUAGAGUAACAGAUUCAUGGUAGAUAUACUGCAAUUUGUGCUCCUAACCAGUUGGCAAAUGUUGGUUUGCUAUUAGGAUAUUUACUGGGUACCAAUAUGCUGUCUAGCAUACAACAGGUGGUGUAUAGCAACCAUUAGGUGAUUUAUAUCUGCUACCUCUGUCCGAAAUUAGAUGACACUCAAAAGGAUGUAUCUAGAUGUAUUUCAGUGCUAAAUACACCCGUUUGAGCGUUAACUAAUUCCGGACGGAGGAAGUACAAUCGUUUCCAUCAGUAAAGAGAAACUGAGUUAAUCCCAUUUGGCGUACUAUUUAGAAAUUAUCUUGUCUGGCAAAGGUUAAUUUUUUUAUCUGCCUGACGUUGGAUGACACUACCGUGUAGUGUUAUACUUGCCAAUUGACACAUGAAAGUUUCGCCCUUUUGUCCAUCUUGUUCCUCUUGCCUAGAAGAUACUAUGAAACAAUUGUUGUUUCGGUGCCAUAAAGCUAGGGGGGAGGGGUGGUUGGAUUCGUUCCCCAAUGGCCUUUGUGAAGGUUAAUGUUGAUGUUUUUUUUUAUCAUGAUUUUCUUAAGGGUACGGUUGGAGCGGUCCUGAGGGGCGAUAAAGAAAAAUUCAUUGCAGGAGGCCUUUGGAGAAUCAACUGGUGUGCGUCCGUUCUCACGACGGAAGCUCUGCUGCUUAGAUUCGGUCUAUCCUUGACGCAACGGACGGGAUGUAAUCGACUUUCAUCAAUUCUGAUAUAAUUUGGAGGUCAUUGAUGCCAUGAAUAAUAGAGGAUGGUUGGUAUUUAUUGCUUGUGAUUUUAAUAUUUCUGGGUUUCAACAUUGUAAUAGAGAAGCAAAUAAGGUUUCUCACGAGCUUACUA